rnacentral:rRNA from 1 species
AAACUUUCAACAACGGAUCUCUUGGUUCUCGCAUCGAUGAAGAACGCAGCAAAACGCGAUAUGUAAUGUGAAUUGCAGAAUUUUGUGAAUCAUCGAAUUUUUGAACGCACAUUGCGCCCUUUGGUAUUCCAAAGGGCAUACCUGUUUGAGCGUCAUU